rnacentral:rRNA from 1 species
GACAUAGGUGGCGAACGUUAUCCGGAUUUAUUGGGCGUAAAGAAUGCGUAGAUGGUGGAAUAAGUUAUUGGUCGAGGUCAAGCUCAACUUGGCGGAAGCUGGUAAUACUGUUCUACUUGAGGGCAGGAGAGGUUGGCGGAAUUCUGUGUGGAGCGGUGAAAUGCGUUGAUCUACAGAGGAACACCAAAAAGGGCGAAGGCAGCCAACUAUUCUGAUCCUGACAUUGAGGCAUGAAAGCGUGGGGAGCAAACCGG